UACGUAGGGGGCAAGCGUUAUCCGGAAUUAUUGGGCGUAAAGAGUACGUAGGUGGCAACCUAAGCGCAGGGUUUAAGACAAUGGCUCAACCAUUGUUCGCCCUGCGAACUGGGAUGCUUGAGUGCAGGAGAGGAAAGCGGAAUUCCUAGUGUAGCGGUGAAAUGCGUAGAUAUUAGGAGGAACACCAGUGGCGAAGGCGGCUUUCUGGACUGUAACUGACACUGAGGUACGAAAGCGUGGGGAGCAAACAGG
rnacentral:rRNA from 1 species